rnacentral:rRNA from 1 species
UACAGAGGUCCCAAGCGUUGUUCGGAUUUACUGGGCGUAAAGGGCGCGUAGGCGGUCAGCACAAGUCAGUUGUGAAAUCUCCGGGCUUAACUCGGAAAGGUCAACUGAUACUGUGCGACUAGAGUGCAGAAGGGGCAACUGGAAUUCUCGGUGUAGCGGUGAAAUGCGUAGAUAUCGAGAGGAACACCUGCGGCGAAGGCGGGUUGCUGGGCUGACACUGACGCUGAUGCGCGAAAGCCAGGGGAGCGAACGGG